UACAGAGGGUGCGAGCGUUGUUCGGAAUUAUUGGGCGUAAAGGGCGCGUAGGCGGCGCCACAAGUCACUUGUGAAAACUCUGGGCUCAACUCAGAGCCUGCAAGCGAAACUGUGGUGCUGGAGUAUGGGAGAGGUGCGUGGAAUUCCCGGUGUAGCGGUGAAAUGCGCAGAUAUCUGGAAGAACACCCGUGGCGAAGGCGGCUUCCUGGAACGACACUGACGCUGAGACGCGAAAGCGUGGGGAGCAAACAGG
rnacentral:rRNA from 1 species